rnacentral:rRNA from 1 species
AAAUUGAAGAGUUUGAUCAUGGCUCAGAUUGAACGCUGGCGGCAGGCCUAACACAUGCAAGUCGAACGGUAACAGGAAGCAGCUUGCUGCUUCGCUGACGAGUGGCGGACGGGUGAGUAAUGUCUGGGAAACUGCCUGAUGGAGGGGGAUAACUACUGGAAACGGUGGCUAAUACCGCAUAACGUCGCAAGACCAAAGAGGGGGACCUUCGGGCCUCUUGCCAUCAGAUGUGCCCAGAUGGGAUUAGCUGGUUGGUGAGGUAACGGCUCACCAAGGCGACGAUCCCUAGCUGGUCUGAGAGGAUGACCAGCCACACUGGAACUGAGACACGGUCCAGACUCCUACGGGAGGCAGCAGUGGGGAAUAUUGCACAAUGGGCGCAAGCCUGAUGCAGCCAUGCCGCGUGUAUGAAGAAGGCCUUCGGGUUGUAAAGUACUUUCAGCGGGGAGGAAGGUGUUGUGGUUAAUAACCGCAGCAAUUGACGUUACCCGCAGAAGAAGCACCGGCUAACUCCGUGCCAGCAGCCGCGGUAAUACGGAGGGUGCAAGCGUUAAUCGGAAUUACUGGGCGUAAAGCGCACGCAGGCGGUCUGUCAAGUCGGAUGUGAAAUCCCCGGGCUCAACCUGGGAACUGCAUUCGAAACUGGCAGGCUUGAGUCUUGUAGAGGGGGGUAGAAUUCCAGGUGUAGCGGUGAAAUGCGUAGAGAUCUGGAGGAAUACCGGUGGCGAAGGCGGCCCCCUGGACAAAGACUGACGCUCAGGUGCGAAAGCGUGGGGAGCAAACAGGAUUAGAUACCCUGGUAGUCCACGCCGUAAACGAUGUCUACUUGGAGGUUGUGCCCUUGAGGCGUGGCUUCCGGAGCUAACGCGUUAAGUAGACCGCCUGGGGAGUACGGCCGCAAGGUUAAAACUCAAAUGAAUUGACGGGGGCCCGCACAAGCGGUGGAGCAUGUGGUUUAAUUCGAUGCAACGCGAAGAACCUUACCUGGUCUUGACAUCCACGGAAGUUUUCAGAGAUGAGAAUGUGCCUUCGGGAACCGUGAGACAGGUGCUGCAUGGCUGUCGUCAGCUCGUGUUGUGAAAUGUUGGGUUAAGUCCCGCAACGAGCGCAACCCUUAUCCUUUGUUGCCAGCGGUCCGGCCGGGAACUCAAAGGAGACUGCCAGUGAUAAACUGGAGGAAGGUGGGGAUGACGUCAAGUCAUCAUGGCCCUUACGACCAGGGCUACACACGUGCUACAAUGGCGCAUACAAAGAGAAGCGACCUCGCGAGAGCAAGCGGACCUCAUAAAGUGCGUCGUAGUCCGGAUUGGAGUCUGCAACUCGACUCCAUGAAGUCGGAAUCGCUAGUAAUCGUGGAUCAGAAUGCCACGGUGAAUACGUUCCCGGGCCUUGUACACACCGCCCGUCACACCAUGGGAGUGGGUUGCAAAAGAAGUAGGUAGCUUAACCUUCGGGAGGGCGCUUACCACUUUGUGAUUCAUGACUGGGGUGAAGUCGUAACAAGGUAACCGUAGGGGAACCUGCGGUUGGAU